AACGAACGCUGGCGGCAUGCCUAACACAUGCAAGUCGAACGAGACCUUCGGGCUUAGUGGCGCACGGGUGCGUAACGCGUGGGAACAUGCCCUUAGGUUCGGAAUAACUCCUCGAAAGGGGUGCUAAUACCGGAUAAUGUCUUCGGACCAAAGAUUUAUCGCCUUUGGAUGGGCCCGCGUUGGAUUAGCUAGUUGGUAGGGUAAAAGCCUACCAAGGCGACGAUCCAUAGCUGGUCUGAGAGGAUGAUCAGCCACACUGGGACUGAGACACGGCCCAGACUCCUACGGGAGGCAGCAGUGGGGAAUAGUGGGCAGUGGGCGAGAGCCUGAUCCAGCAAUGCCGCGUGGGUGAUGAAGGCCUUAGGGUUGUAAAGCGCUUUUAACCGGGAUGAUAAUGACGGUACCGGGAGAAUAAGCUCCGGCUAACUCCGUG
rnacentral:rRNA from 1 species